UUAGUCUUCGCUCUCCAGUUCAAAUCGCAACGGCGCAGCGGAAGGUAGGUAAUCAUUUUAUGCUAUUCAUGAUUCUUAUUUUUGUGAUAAUUUUCGUUGAUAAUUGAUUAGAUUAUUCAUACGCAAUUUGUAUACCCUGCUUUCUAAAGGAAAAAAUUCAAUAAAUAGAAUUAGGGCUUCUAAUUUGGGGAUGUUCUUACUCUGAAUCAGUAUUAUGUAAAAUCUGCAGUGUUGAUGGAGCAGCGGUGGUGCCGUGGUGGUGACUGGUGAGGAUCGUCGCCGGUCGUCGUUGGAGUUGGGCCGGCAAGAGGCGGCGUUGGUGUUGCUAAUUGCGAAGAGAAAGAGAGCAAAAUUUCAGUGAACCGAUGAAAUGAAAGGAAAACUAGGAUUGCAGCUAAAAUAAUAUUGUUUAUUUAUUU
rnacentral:lncRNA from 1 species